GUGGCAGAAAGACUACUGCAGGCCUAUUCUAGCGGCCCGCGGCCCGGAUACGGCCCUUUUGAAUUUUCCUAUGGCCCGCAAGAGGCUAACUGCAAAUCAGGCGGGCAUGUGUGGGGUAUGAUAAAUUAAACUAAGGUACAUAUCUCUGAGCUACUUUGAGACAUCUGAACCAUAGACUGUAUGAUCUGAACCAAUAUGGUAUUGGUUACGUCUUUUUAAAGCACCUAUGUGCUGUGAUUUACUGCAACAGGAUUACCCCCGCUCCGCACCUGCCAUUCGCUCAGUCAAGCCUCAUGUUUCAUUCUGGGCUGGUGGGCCACAGGGAAACUCACGUUAGCUAAGCUAUAGGUCUGUCAAAAAACAUUCUAAGUUCGAAAAUCUUUUUUUUUUUUUUUCCGAACCUAAAUUUGAGCUUUCGAAUAUUCGUUUGGAUCCCGCGUUUUGUAAUUAACAUAAAUAUACAGGCUUUAAUUUCAUGCGGCGAAUCAUGUGCAUGCACGCAAAGUUCAUUUCCUGUCCUAACGUUACGGGUCAGCUAACAAUUUAGGCUAAAUAAUGUUCCCAUGGGAGGCUAUGUUUCCUUUAUGUUCUGAAGAUUUUGAUAAAAUUGGAUGAUGAAAGAAGUUAAGCAAACUAAACAGAGUAAGGAGCCUAAUUUAUGUUGUUUUAGGUUACAGGUAUUAGCCGUUUGAAUAGUUUUUGUGUUAAGAAAUACACAGGAUUUCCUAUAAACAAUCAUUCCCCUAUUAUUGUGAUUAAUGCCGAGUUGUGGCAAAUUACAACCACGAGAAAGUGCUUUAUUUAUUUGCACAUUAGGCUACAGAAACUGCAGUGAGCUCAUUUAUAAAAUGAACUUGCGUGCAUACGUAAAGUGAAGACCUGACGUAGAGCCACAACCGUUUCCACGGUCAAAUCGAUUCAUGUUGAAAUUUUAUAAAUCACUACUUUGACGUAAUUUUCUACGUACGCGCCACACAGUUGAUCUAAAAUACGUUUUAUAAAUGAGGCCCCAGAUGUAGUAACCUAGUAUGAAAGUUCACCUAUGUCCUGUAUUCUACUGCCCGCUUGUGGAAAAUAACGCGCAGGCCAGCCCGACAAUAGGCAGCUUAUUUUUUUGUGAAUUAUAGACAAAUGAUAUUCGAAUUUAUUCGAACGCUAACUAAUUACAAAAGCUAAUAUUCGAACUCAUUUUCAUGGCACUUUUGACAGCCUUACUAAUGUAGCCGCUAGAGGUGGGCAGGUAAUUAGAUGACACGGUAACGUCAUACGCAAAUAUAUGCAUAUAAGCAUGUUCUAAACAGGCAGACAGCGAGCCGUCAAUCUUGGGGUCCUCACAAUCUUACACCUGUUAAGAGUUGUGAGUGGAAGGUUUGUGUGCGGCGUUAAUAAAUGGUUUGUGCCGGUCCCGUGUUAGUACCAUUUUUACAGUCUCUGGUUAAGACUGCAUGUUGUUUUGCCUAUCCGGAAGUGCAUGUACUGUAUGUAAGCUGGAGAAGCCACGGUUGGAGAUGACGUGGCCAGGAUUGACUGACCUUAUCGCAUACAGCUAUUGAGAGCCAUCCGGUAAUGUAGAUUGUUUUAUUCAUGCUUUUAUAUUGGUGGCUUCUUGGUUUGGGUGUGCAUGCUUUCUCUGCAUGUAGCUUGAGCAGUGCCUUUUGUUUUGCUUAUAGGUUUAUUUUGAGCAGGUGGCCGAUGCAUGGAUUGACCGCUGUUCCUUCCUUUCGUUUUAUGUACAUGUUGCAAAUUGGCUGCCCAGCUACCGCGAGUGAGCGUGCUUCCGCUCAUAGUAUCUGGCCUUGUGUUGAUUAGCCAAUGCGCGGAGCUGGUCGGCUAGCUUGAGCAUUUAUUUUUGUUUAAUUGGCUAACAUGAAAAAAAAACAAUCUCCCCCGCUCUAACUCAAUCAGCUAACCCAGUCCUGCUUUAACUAUUCUUUGUGCUUUGCCUGCCAUUAAUUCGAGGCGCUUGCAUGCUGUUGGGUUUGCUUUACGCCCCUUCUAGAUUGCUGUGCUUGACUAAAGAGCGUUUGGCUUUGCUUUAACUAUUUGUGUGUUCUUCUACUUUGCUCUGUGGAGUUUGCAGUGUGAUUACAAUUGCAGUGUACCUUAAUGGGGUGUGUCAUUCACAGGUGUAUAUAUUCCCUUCUCUAAGGUCACAGCAAACACAAGUAAGGUGCAAGCCAGCUGGGUAGUCUGUUUUGCAGUAAGGGGUGGAAAUGUUAAAUGUUGUGUGUGUUAUUUCUCAUUAAACCAUUUUAUGAAUUGGAGAAAAUAAAGGAAGCUAGCAUUUUGCUAUCUUCCCUACCAUAGUUUUUAAAAAAAAUGAAAUUAAUGUUAAUAAAAAGGAUCUGUUUUUUUUCUCUUA